UACGGGGGGGGGUAAGCGUUGUUCGGAAUUACUGGGCGUAAAGGGCUCGUAGGCGGCCAACUAAGUCAGACGUGAAAUCCCUCAGCUUAACUGGGGAACUGCGUCUGAUACUGGAUGGCUUGAAUCCGGGAGAGGGAUGCAGAAUUCCAGGUGUAGCGGUGAAAUGCGUAGAUAUCUGGAGGAAUACCGGUGGCGAAGGCGGCAUCCUGGACCGGCAUUGACGCUGAGGAGCGAAAGCUAGGGGAGCAAACGGGG
rnacentral:rRNA from 1 species